rnacentral:rRNA from 1 species
UACGUAGGGGGCAAGCGUUGUCCGGAUUUAUUGGGCGUAAAGAGCGUGUAGGCGGCUAGGUAGGUCCGUUGUGAAAACUCGAGGCUCAACCUCGAGACGUCGAUGGAAACCAUCUAGCUAGAGUCCGGAAGAGGAGAGUGGAAUUCCUGGUGUAGCGGUGAAAUGCGCAGAUAUCAGGAAGAACACCCGUGGCGAAGGCGGCUCUCUGGUACGUGACUGACGCUGAGACGCGAAAGCGUGGGGGAGC